rnacentral:lncRNA from 1 species
UUCCCACGUGCCCUGCAGUCCCUCAGAGCUGAGCAGUAGAGACUGAGGAUGCUAAUGUGCUAUCUGUUUUUGUUUCUAGGACGGUGAACUUUGACAUAAUAAAAUACUUGUAUGAUUUCUUGUGAAAACAAGCUUCAAAGCCAUAUGGACACUGUGACAAUGACUAAGCCAAGCUGUGUUCAUCCAACUACUCGGCUGGCCAGGGAAAGGAGUUCUUUGGCUCUAUUGGAUUUGUCCAAACAGGUGCUGGCCCAGCAUGGAGCCUGAUGAAAACCCUCUGAUUGGUCUGGGUAGAUGUGAGCAGAAGACUAUUUACCAGGGGCCCGGGAGUAUUUGGAAGCAACGUGUUAAUUAUAAACAGCAGGGUUUGAGCACAAUCUGUUCUACUCUUAAUGAUGUUAUCUUAACACUGAAAUUGCCUGAAACCCAUUUACUUAGGACUGUGCUUUGCUCUAUGAACUAUCCCCUGCACUUUGAACAUGCCAGCAGCCCUUGUUUGUUUGCCCAGCCUUUUCACUUCCUCUCCACGGGAGCCGCUGCCAGCUCUUGCCAGAGCAGAUUUCCUAAGGCCACUGUUUUAGAAGAUCAUGGUUGCUAAAGUAUGCGCUGUAUAUGCUUAUGGUUUACCCUGGUUUUCCCAAACACAAGGCAGCUUGUUCAUUGUACACACAACAGCUUCAUGUCUGACUCUGCUUGCUGCCCUGACAGUACUGGUCACUCUCGUUAACCACCAAUGGCUUUUUAGAGAAUGUUGUUUUCCUUCCUUUUUGCUUUUGAGUCGCUGAGGUUUGAGAGCCCCACAAUAAAAUUCUUCCUUUUACAUUGU